AUAAGUUUUGUAUGCAGUACAAUGAUGCGCACUUUGUUUACAUUCCACAGGUUGCCGGUAGUGCUUCCUGGAACUCAUGAGCAGAGGUGGGUCUAAACUAUCCACAUCUGCUUGUUACUAUCAUCAGAACCAACAGGAAGCCUAGUAAAGCACUCGCCUAUGCAACCCACGAACCACUCACAAGAUAUGUAAACUUAAAAGUGUGACAAUGGUACUUCAUAUAUAUAUAUAUAUAUAUAUAUAUAUAUAUAUAUAUAUAUAUAUAUAUAUAUAUAUAUAUAUACAAUAUAUAUAGAUCGAUAGAUAGAUAUGCAUAUAAAUUCUGUUUAAAGCCAUAUUUUCAUUGUAAUGAUUUUCCUUUCAUAAAGAUAGCAUUCAACAUUUUUGCAGUUCUUCUCUGGUUCUUGCUGGAGAAUGUUCAUCAUUCUCUUAGUGGUAGCCAUCAAUAGGGAUAAAUUUAUCUUGGCAAUUUGUUCUGUUCCAUAAGGAAUUUGGCAGUUUUUAAUUGAAAAAAUAAUUUUGUUUUUAUCUUUGCUAUUCAUUGUAUAUGCUUUGAAUGUCCAAGAUAUAGAUGAUGCUCUGAUAAUGACUUGUCUAGAAAGGUUGAUUCAAAAAAUUUAUUUAUAAUUCUGAUUAUAGAUUACACUCUC